CGCCUCACGGGGAGAGAGAAACGCCGCGGGUUGCUUCUGCAGAAAGGAGAAGAAACUGCACUGCAAGAAGACCACGAAGGCCUGACGUUGGGAAAGGAGUGGUUUUGUUGUGUUAUCCCAUCCAGAGUGCUGCAUGCUCCAGGCAAAGCCAGGGCUUGCACCUUUUGGUGCCUCACAGCUCAUGCCAGGUCACAGAGACGAUUUCACAGCAGAUGCAGCAGGAGGGAAGCGUGAAGGAAACAGCUUCAUAGCUCUCGGGUGGCUGUGUCACACGAUGGGAGUGCCCUUGACUCACCAAGCAAGCCUGACGACGAGAGAAGGUAACAAUCCCCUUCGGUGCCUGGGUAGAUCAGGCUCUGAUCUUUGAGCAAAGAUGUUUCUGGGGAGCACUGGAGAUUUCUUCUCGCUCAGAACAGAUCAGUAAUAACGGACUGCUGCUCAGCAGGAAGUGCGGAUCAGCUGCAAGCUGUUGGUCAGGGCAAGGUCUGCACUGUCAGCUGGCAGCAGGUCUGGCCUUCUCAGCCAGCCUUGAUGCUGCUUCCUCCCCACAUCUCUCCUUUCCUGCAUGCUUUCAUCUCCCCUCCAGCCUUCACUCAACACCUGCCUUGUCACCCUUCCAACCCCACACAUACUUCAGUUUUUCUUUCCCAUACAAGCAAUGCUCUGGAUGCCUUUGCAGCCAUUUUUAAGAAAUGCAAAUGUAAAGAAAAUUUGCUUUUUUUUUUUUCCUAAUCAUGAAUGAAACUACAUUGUUCUUGCGUUUUCUUGAUAUGUGUUCUUGAUAAGCAAAUACACCAUUCCUUGUUGCUCAUUUUUGUACAGCAUGACUACUUUAUAGAAAAGUAACAGGAAGCACUUUAUUGUCUGACUACGAAAUGAGGUCACAAUCACAGAAGGGAAGUGACACUCGUGACACUGAGCAUUUUGUCCCCAGACACGUAAAGCAGCCCCUAACCCAGGCUUACUCUCACCCAGCACCCCCCGCUGAGUGGCCAGGCCAGCAGGCCACGCAGCCACCAGCUUUUAAACCCGAAGGUUGACAUGGGCUCAAACUGCGUUUUCAGUGAGAAAAGACACAGCCAUGUCAGUAGAAACUACACUUGCAUUGCCGUGCUGGAGACUGAAGUUGUGUAACUAACCCAGACUUUGUGAGACUGAGGAUGUGUGCUGCUUUCAGCAACUUUUUUUUUCCUUUCUUUUUUUAAACAGACUGGGACUGCACACAGCAGUUUUCUCCUAAGGACAGUUUGCCGUAUAUAUCACUAUUAACUUCUGAAAUAUCACAAUACCCACAGUACCCUAAGCUGGACCAUACCAAAGUUAGCAUUUACAGAAGUGUGCCAUUUGGGGAGUGUUUUACUACUAUUAUCUGUUACACUGAAAAUGGAAGGGUCGGAAACACAUCAAACACACCUCAGAAAGCCUGCAUCCUUCUUGUCUGUCUCUCACUUCAAACUGUUUCCUGUUCAGUACUUGUAGGGUUCACAAGAAGGCCAUCUAUCACAUUCUUGCUUUUUUUCCUCUUUUAUAACUGAGGCUUAACAUGUCUCUUCACAUCCGCUGCAGUUUUAGCAUUAUCUAUUAAUGGCUUAGCGACUGAAUAUUAUCCAGCCAUCACAAGCUUGACCCGACUUCUCUCUACACCUAAAUCUGUGUUUAUUUUGUUCAGUGGCUGAUGAGAUACUAUGGUACAUCAUAAGCAGUUCCGGUUGUUAAUUUGCUAAGAAUUCAUGGCAGUUACUGCACUGAUAGGGGAAGGCUUUGAUCUCACUGUUUGUGCUAGGUUUAGACACAUCUCAGCAUGCACAUAUAGGUUACUUCAGGCUGAACGUGUUGGUAAAUUAUGGCUUUAUAUUCUUGAAGCGAUAAGGCUUUGUUCUGCGCUCAGUACUCAUGAAUGUGCAGCGUCCCUGCUGGCACGGCCAGCCUGACAGUACGAGUUACAGGUAUCUCGAGCAAAAUGUUCACAGACAGCUCUGAAUGCACUUGGGGCAAUUCUGCUCAAGGACUGCUCCAUCUGGCCGUGAGAUGCCAGAAGAGUCAUCUAGCAGCCAGCCCUUCACUGCACAGCCAGAUGACAUGGAAACAUUAAGACUAGAGCCUGGAAGUUAAUCUGUGGGGUUGUGUUGGUUUUUUUUUUUGCAGAAACAGUAUUCAUGAUUAACAUCCAGAAACACUGCCUUCAAAGAUGAUCUUCCUUUGUAUGACUGUUUCAGGAGCAAUACUUUUUAAAUGUGACAAGCUAUCUUUCUGCUAUAUUUCUAAUGCAACAAACUGUGUAGGUACCUGUCUGACCUAAACUACUGGGGCACUUCGUAAGAGACCAGUUCAAUUCCCUCAAUGCUUUAAAUUGAAGACUUUCUAAAAGAUUCACUCCAGCUCCACAGCAGACUGGCAAGAUACCCAUGUCAUCCCUGGCAGGGCAGGUUAACUUAUCAGAACAGCCCCCAGCCGCCAUUCUGCAGCCAGGAACACAACCAGCCACCAGGUACAGAGGUGGAAUGGGCAGGAAUGAGCUCACCAAAGAACACAAGAGGAACACUGCUUCUCUGAACUGGAACUUGGGCACUCAUCCAGCUAUGCAGAAGCCAGUAAAACCAUCCCAUCCCUAGGGAUGCUCAAAGCUAAUGCAGCUUAAGAGGCAAAAGUGGUACAAACACGUUGGUGAAAAGCCAGUGAAUCCUCCCUAGCAGCUCUUCUUCGGAAGAAAAAAAUCCCUCGCUGAGUCAUUAAGGGAGAGACUGGAGGGCGUUGCUCUCCCGGGGAGCCAUGGGUUUGUUUGGUAAAGAGCACAGGGCUUUGGAGUAGAAGACCAUGACAUACGUGCUUUGUGUCCUAGCCACGAUUAUUAUUUGUGAGAAGCAAUACCAAAUUCCUAACAUACCUUAACCAAGG